UACGAAGGGGGCUAGCGUUGUUCGGAUUUACUGGGCGUAAAGCGCACGUAGGCGGGUUGAUAAGUUAGAGGUGAAAUCCCAGAGCUCAACUCUGGAACUGCCUUUAAUACUGUCGAUCUUGAGUCCGGGAGAGGUGAGUGGAACUCCUGGUGUAGAGGUGGAAUUCGUAGAUAUUAGGAAGAACACCAGUGGCGAAGGCGGCACACUGGCUCGGUACUGACGCUGAGGUGCGAAAGCGUGGGGAGCAAACAGG
rnacentral:rRNA from 1 species